rnacentral:lncRNA from 1 species
AGGAGGUUAUGUUCUUUCUCCAGGAUGGUGGAUUAUUAGGGUCAUGGAGCCUGACGCUGCCAGAACUUUUUUUCCCACCUCAUGGAAAGAAGAACUUCCUGGAAGGAAGGCAGGACUGAGAGUUGGAAUGAAAAUGACAGAGCCCUGUCCACACCGUUAAAGUACUCAAAUCCAGUAUGAAGAAAAUCUCCUAGUUCUACAAAUUGAGGACUAUGAUACAACGGUUGCAAAAAUGGUGUCUCCUUGAGGGUGCAUCUUUGUUCUCUCUGCACUCCAGAAAACCUGGAGAGAGGCUCUGGGUGUCUUGUCUUCAUCAGCAGCAUAGCGGCUAAAGGGGUCUCUGGAGCCUGGAUGGUUGGGUGUGACUCCUGGCUUUGCCACUGGCUCUCUGUGCUUACUUAACUUCCCUGUGUUUCAAUUUCCUUAUAUGGACAACGAGUCUAAUGUUACCACAUGCAAUAUUUUUGUAAACACUAAAUUUGUUCAUCUUGAAUUCUGCUUAGACUUGAUGAGUGCUUUAAAAGUCAUCCGCUGUUAUUAGUAAUUACAAGAGAGCUGAUUCAGAAAGUUGGAAGUAACUUGCACCAGAUUAAGUGGAUUUAAUCAUGAACACUAUCCCCAUGGGCAAU